AGCGACCCGAGAACUCGUUUCGAAACCGAAAGGCCGUCCCGGAGAGGGCACGGCGGCCCGGCCUCGGCCGGAUCCCGACGUCCCCCGACGGGCCGAGCCGACAACAACCCCCGGCGCGAGCCGCGCCAAGGAAAACGCAAAAGAGGGCGGGGCUCCCGGGCCUCCGGAGACGGAGCGCGCCUCGGGAGAUCCCGUCCUCCUCGUGAAAGUCGAAAUAAAAACGACUCUCGACAACGGAUAUCUCGGCUCUCGCAUCGAUGAAGAACGUAGCGAAAUGCGAUACUUGGUGUGAAUUGCAGAAUCCCGUGAACCAUCGAGUCUUUGAACGCAAGUUGCGCCCCAAGCCGUCAGGCCGAGGGCACGUCUGCCUGGGUGUCACACAUCGUCGCCCCAAACACCCACGCCUCCAGGGGCGUGGCGGGCGGAGACUGGCCUCCCGCGAGCCCCCGCUCUCGGCUGGCCCAAAUUCGAGCGCCGGGGCGUCGAGCGCCUCGACCAGCGGUGGUUGGCAUGUUCCAAUGACCCUCUAUCCCGGUCGUGCGCGCCCGUCGCCCCGUCCGCGGCGCUUACCGACCCCCCCGCGCCGCUCCGGCGACGCUCGCUCCGCGACCCCAGGUCAGGCGGGACUACCCGCUGAGUUUAAG
rnacentral:rRNA from 1 species